GGGGGAAUAUUGCACAAUGGGGGGAACCCUGAUGCAGCAACGCCGCGUGAGUGAAGAAGUAUUUCGGUAUGUAAAGCUCUAUCAGCAGGGAAGAAGAGAUGACGGUACCUGACCAAGAAGCUCCGGCUAAAUACGUGCCAGCAGCCGCGGUAAUACGUAUGGAGCAAGCGUUAUCCGGAUUUACUGGGUGUAAAGGGUGCGUAGGUGGCGGUGCAAGUCAGAUGUGAAAUGCCGGGGCUCAACCCCGGAGCUGCAUUUGAAACUGCAUGGCUCGAGUACAGGAGAGGCAGGCGGAAUUCCUAGUGUAGCGGUGAAAUGCGUAGAUAUUAGGAGGAACACCAGUGGCGAAGGCGGCCUGCUGGACUGAAACUGACACUGAGGCACGAAAGCGUGGGGAGCAAACAGGAUUAGAUACCCUGGUAGU
rnacentral:rRNA from 1 species